GUGGGGACCCCAGAGCGCCCUGCACGCCCCCUUCCUUCUUCCCCCACCAGUCCUAGACCAUCCAGAUCAAGCCCGUGGUCACCGAAUCCACUUCACAGCUCAGACAGGAGUGGCACUUGCCCGCACCACACGGCAGCCCAGGGCAGAGUGAGUCCUGUUGGGCAGGGGUGUUUGCUCUGCCCCAGCCCCUGGUGCUCGGGUCCUGAUGGCCCACACAGGACUCUGGUUCUGACUCCUCCGUUGCCCAGUUGUGUGGCUUCAGGCAGGUGUCUCUAUCUGGGCCUCAGUGUCCUCAACUGUGAGAUGGUUUCAUAACUGUCCCCCUCAUGGGGUUCGUAUCAAAUGCGGUGCCUGUCACAUGGACACAGUAAGGACAAUCAGGGGGAACACGAUGGACACGGACCCCACAGCCCAGCCGACUCUGGGGGCCUUUGUUCAGCUGUGCCUUCGUGAGGAAACCAAGCACAGAGCAGGCAAAGCACCCUCCCUGAGGGCCACAGUGUGCAGGGCAGCACUGACACCCAGGCCUGUGCGCCCACAGGAGGCCGCACCCCGCCCGGCUGCUUCCUGCCCGCCGAGCCUCAGCUCCUGCUCCCACCUCAGAGGAAACCGCCAGGCCCCGGCGGACGUCCUUGCUCUCUGCUUCCUCUUUCCCACAGGCCGACUGGGUGGCAGGGGCUCCCUGGGCCCUGCCCGGGCCUCAGUUUCCUCAUCUGUGCAGCAGGCGCAGCUGGGCAGCCCAGCCCAUAGUUAAGUUCACUCCAGAGAGGGGCACCAGACUGAGGCUCCAACCACCCUGCGCUGUCCCCUGCUGGACACCACGACGGGAACACUGAGGCCCAGCCCCCUGCCCAAGGAGCACAGAGGACAGCUCUGAACACAGGCUGUCCACUGCUGACACCAACUUCCCAGAUGGCCACUGUGAGCAGAAGUUGUGUCCUAUCCUUGCCUUUUACAAAUGACCCUGGUUGACCACAGGCAACUGAAACCACAUUAAGUGGAUGGAGGCCGGAGGAAGGACUGCACUUCAAGCCACCACCAGAAAGCUGUUCACCUGUACUGCAUCAAAAUCAAAAACUGGGCACAGAGCAUGGG
rnacentral:lncRNA from 1 species